rnacentral:tRNA from 14 species
CAUGGCCAAGUGGGUUGAUGCUGAGCCUCUCACAGUAGAGACCCGGGUUCGAAUCCUGUCGGC